ensembl:lincRNA
GGUAGGUGUCUGUUAAGGAAAAGCCGGGAGAGCCUUCCCUGUGCCUGCUGCUCCGGUCCCGGGGGAGGAGCGCUCCCAAGUGGCUUGUUCAGGGCGGUCUGUUUGCUGACAGCAUACAGUGCAAACAAAGGGCUCCGGUGGGGACGUCAGAGGAGCAGCUGCUCGGUGUCUAGGAGAGCUUGAGUGUGGUUUGCAAAGCAAACUGACUCUAAUUUGGACAAAUACUGUGGUGGCCUGGGACCUCUGAAAGAUAAAGCAGCAAGGAAGUGUUGACCCGGACGUUUCCAGGGGCCAAAGUGCAGAAACAGAGGAGCGGUCCAGGAAUGUAAGGGUUGCUCUCUCCUUGACCAUCGGUCUACCCAUAUCAAGGACACUCUUUGCUGGGACCCAAGAGGAAGUCAACCUGCAGCCAUUUGACAUCUUUGGUAUUUAAGGGGAGAGCCUCGCAGAAGGAAAGAUGGAGGUGAAGGAUCGGAGAGGAUGUUGCACAAUUGAAGAGUUACUUUGUGUCGGAACAACACAUUUUAUUUAUAUAUGUAUUUAUUAGAGACAGAGUCUCAUUAUGUUGCCCAGACUGGUCUCAAACUCCUGGACUCAAGCAAUCUUCCCGCAUCAGCCUCCCAAAGUGUUGGGAUUACAGGCAUGAGCCACCGAGCCCAGCCAGAAACAUCACAUUUGAAAACAAUGAAGAAUGGAGGAAACUGAUGUCUGUGUGUCACCAGGUUGUCAUCGUUUCUGUCACUAUGAAAGCUAAAGCAGAAAGAAGCUUAAUGGAGACCUGGAAGCCUCUCCGUAGAGACUCCGGGGCGGGAACACGGUCUGUGUGCAGGGCUCAGGGAGGACCCACGGCUCCUGUGGUUUACACGGCACCUGAGAAGGAUCAGUCAGGAAGAGCUACCUGGAGAGCCUGAGCCCGACCGGAUACUCCUUUCCCUGCCACUUUCCCUGGGAUCCAGCGGUUUAUAUUCCUGGCCUCAGGAAAUCUUGGAAGAGUUAUUUUGGCAGAAUGAAGCAAUGUACUAUUCCAGCCGUAGUCCAGACCUGGUGACGUGGAGCUUGGCGAUGAUCGACGACCCUGGCGUCAUACUCUAAAUUUGUUUCCAAAGUGGCAGCAGGGGAGGAGGUGGCGAAAUCAAUACUGAAGUUUGUCUUGAUUGGAUGGGGUGUGUGUUUUCUUUUCCGCCCUAGUUGUUGUUGAAGCUGUUUAUUGAAAGGCUGUGCAAAUAUGAUCAGUCAGCUCCAAGGCCAUUAAUAACCCGCCGGACAGAGCUGGCUCCAUUCCAAUUGAUUUUUGAAACUGUCCAUUUUUUUUGGAGCAGGGAUGAAAGCCCCAGAGGGGUCGGGAUGAAAGCCCCAGAAGGGUCGGGGUGAAAGCCCCAGAGGGGUCGGGGUGAAAGCCCCAGAAGGGUCGGGAUGAAAGCCCCAGAGGGGUCGGGGUGAAAGCCCCAGAGGGGUCGGGGUGAAAGCCCCAGAGGGGUCGGGGUGAAAGCCCCAGAGGGGUUGGGGUGAAAGCAUGAGAUCUCUGCCUCCACUGGGGCUGAUCCCACAGACUCAGGAGAUGAAACGUGGUUCCAGUGCCUUUGCUUUCCGUCUGAACGAGGCAGGGGUCCUGCGGCAGCUCUGAAGAGGCGGGGGCCGUCACAAACAAAUACUGCUGCAGGGCAAGGGGGCGCUGCGAUUGUCUGCACACUGAUGGGGACCCAGAGGAAAACGUGGCCCGAGGUUUGCCAGAAUGUGCUUAAGAAGCAAACCUCACAUACCUGAAACUCUCUCCCUACCAUCCUGUCCUUCCAAAAACUAAAUCAGCUUGAAUAUCCUGAGAAAUGUCACACAGGUCAGCUGUAGGAGCACCCAUGAGAGGUGGCUGAUGGUGAAACCACUGGGGCCAGAAAGCAUGAAUUGACAUCCCAGAACUCUGGGCUGUAACUUUGAGCAAAUUAAUCUCUUCGAUAUUCUAUUAUAGCAAUUAUAAAUUGAUGAUGUCAUGAUAACCCAUUUCUUAUUUCUCGAAAAGUACUUUUUCUGGAUCUCAUUCACUUAAGAACUCAAAUUCUAAACAUGGAGACUAUCAGAGCCAAGGUCCCUGUUAAAAGAAAUAUAUAUUUUAUAUAUUAAAGCUUAAAAGAAA